rfam:Treponema denticola ATCC 35405, complete genome.
GUUUAUCUGCCGAGUUUGCCUUUCGGCAAACGUCGCAUUAUUGUAUGCAGUUUGUAAACAAACUGCGUGAAAAAACUUUUUUCGCAAAUUGCUAUUUGCUGCAAAAAGUUUUUAUUGGA